GGUGAGGUGUCUGAGUGGCUGAAGGAGCACGCCUGGAAAGUGUGUGAUGGGUUAAACCAUCCGAGGGUUCGAAUCCCUCCCUCACCGCCA
rnacentral:tRNA from 1 species